ensembl:lncRNA
GUGUCCAUCUGUUCUUCCAUCUCUUUCAUUAUUUCCAACCACAAAAAAAACACCUGUACGUCAUACUAACGUACCUAUAUAAGCUUGUGUGCCAACAUUUCACUAGAGAUUUGCACAGAGUUCGACAAGUGGAUUCAAUCCAAGCAUUCAAUCAGGAUUUAUAUUUUUUCAUUUUUGCCACAUACAUUUGAAACUUGUUUAAUAAAGUGUAAAAAAGAAAACAGAAUGGAUUUGGGAAGGAGAAAAUCUGCAUGUUUCUUUAUUUUGGUUGCCUUUCAAUUGGCUUCCACCUCGAUGACCGUAUCAGCGGAAUCCAGCACCAGCAUGUCACCAACCACUGGUGCAUCAACAUCAGCCGUUGGUUCUACAACAACAGCUGAUGUUUCUACAACCACUGGAGGGUCAACAAACGCUGGAGGAUCAACAACCACUGGAGGACCAGCAACCCCCGGAGGUUCAUCCACAACUGCAGCACCAACAACCACUGGAGGAUCAACAACCACUGAAGGGUCAACAACCACAGAAGGGUCGACAGCUACAGGAGGAUCGACAGCCCCUGGAGGAUCCACAACAACCGGAGCAUCAUCAACAACGCAAGAAACUCCAGCUAUUACUACCAGUUCUCCAACAACUACUGCUGGAUUAUCAACUACCACAGGAGGUUCAACCAUCACAAUUGGAUCAACAAUUGGUGGAUCAACAACCAUGGGAGUAACAACAACCACUGGAGAAUCAACGACUGGAGAAUCAACAAUCACUGGAGAACCAAUCACCACUGGAGGUUCAACCAUCACUACUGGAUCAACAACUGGUGGAUCAACAACUGGAGGAUCCACAUCAACCGGAACAUCAUCAACAACGCAAGAAACUCCAGCUAUUACUACCAGUUCUCCAACAACUACUGCUGGAUUAUCAACUACCACAGGAGGUUCAACCAUCACAAUUGGAUCAACAAUUGGUGGAUCAACAACCAUGGGAGUAACAACAACCACUGGAGAAUCAACGACUGGAGAAUCAACAAUCACUGGAGGACCAAUCACCACUGGAGGUUCAACCAUCACAAUUGGAUCAACAAUUGGUGGAUCAACAACCAUGGGAGCAACAACAACCACUGGAGAAUCAACGACUGGAGAAUCAACAAUCACUGGAGCACCAACCACCACUGGAGGUUCAACCAUCACUACUGGAUCAACAACUGGUGGAUCAACAACUGGAGGAUCCACAACAACCGGAGCAUCUUUAACAACGCAAGAAACUCCAGCUAUUGCUACCAGAUCUCCAACAACUACUGCUGGAUUAUCAACUACCACUGGAGGUUCAACCAUCACGAUUGGAUCAACAAUUGGUGGAUCAACAACCAUAGGAGUAACAACAACCACUGGAGAAUCAACGACUGGAGAAUCAACAAUCACUGGAGGACCAACCACCACUGGAGGUUCUACCAUCAUUACUGGAUCAACAACUGGUGGAUCAACAACUGGAGGAUCCACAUCAACCGGACCAUCAUCAACAACGCAAGAAACUCCAACUAUUACAACAACUACCAGUUCUCCAACAACUACUGCUGGAUUAUCAACCACCACUGGAGGUUCAACCAUCACUACUGGAUUAACAAUUGGUGGAUCAACAACAAUAGGAGGAACAAUCACCACUGGAGGUUCAACCAUCACUACUGGAUCAACAACUGGUGGAUCAAUAACAACUGGAGGAUCCAUAACAACUGGAGCAUCAUCAUCAACCACACGAGAAACUCAGACUAUUACAACAACUACCAGUUCUCCAACCACUACUGCUGGAUUAUCAACUACCACUGGAGGAUCAACAACCACUCGAGGAUCCACAACGACUACAGGACCAACAACAACUGCAGAAUCAACAACCACUGGAGGAUCAACCAUCACUACUGGAUCAACAAUUGGUGGAUCAACAACCAUAGUAGGCAUUAUCACCACUGGAAGUUCAACCAUCACUACUGGAUCAACAACUGGUGGAUCAAUAACAACUGGAGGAUUCACAACAACUGGAGCAUCAUCAUCAACAACACAAGAAACUCCAACUAUUACAACAACUACCAGUUCUCCAACCACUACUGCUGGAUUAUCAACUACCACUGGAGGAUCAACAACCACUCGAGGAUCCACAACGACUGCAGGACCAACAGCAACUGCAGAAUCAACAACCACUGGAGGAUCAACAACCACUGGAGGAUCAACAACCACUGGAGGAUCAACAACCACUGGAGGGUCAGCAACCACUGGAGUAUCAACGACCACUGCAGUACCAACAACCACUGGAGGAUCAACCAUCACUACUGGAUCAACAAUUGGUGGAUCAACAACCAUAGUAGGCAUUAUCACCACUGGAAGUUCAACCAUCACUACUGGAUCAACAACUGGUGGAUCAAUAACAACUGGAGGAUUCACAACAACUGGAGCAUCAUCAUCAACAACACAAG